rnacentral:rRNA from 1 species
UACGGAGGGGGCUAGCGUUGUUCGGAAUUACUGGGCGUAAAGCGCACGUAGGCGGCUUUGCAAGUUAGAGGUGAAAGCCCGGGGCUCAACUCCGGAAUUGCCUUUAAAACUGCAUCGCUAGAAUUGCGGAGAGGUAAGUGGAAUUCCGAGUGUAGAGGUGAAAUUCGUAGAUAUUCGGAAGAACACCAGUGGCGAAGGCGACUUACUGGACACAUAUUGACGCUGAGGUGCGAAAGCGUGGGGAGCAAACAGG